rnacentral:lncRNA from 1 species
AUAUUUGUCUUUUAUAUAAUUUAAUAAUUCAAANAGAAUGUUUUAGUUUGAUAGUUUGUUGUGUGUGUGUGAAUAGGGGCAAAUUAGUCAUAUCCUGUAUGGGUGAUGAAUUAAUUAUGUUCCUUGUAAUAAAGUGGGUGAUUUGGUGUGUUUUGUGUGCAUUUGGUGUUGUAACCUUCUCUGCAUUUGUCUGGAGUCUCCUAUAAUGUUAGAAGACGGUCAGGGUCUGGUUGAAUUAAUUAAUGAAAACUCCUUUCUUCUUCUACUACUUCUUUUUUUUAAAUUUUUUUUUUUUUUUUUUUUUUUUUUUUUUUAUGAAAGAAUCUUUAAUUUAUUUUUUCAAAUUUAUUUAAAUAAUAUAAUAGUCUUUACAUUUU